rnacentral:rRNA from 1 species
UGAGGAAUAUUGGUCAAUGGGCGUAAGCCUGAACCAGCCAUGCCGCGUGCAGGAUGACUGCCCUAUGGGUUGUAAACUGCUUUUGCAGGGGAGGAACCGGCGGUACGCGUACCGCCCUGACAGUACCCUGCGAAUAAGGAUCGGCUAACUCCGUGCCAGCAGCCGCGGUAAUACGGAGGAUCCGAGCGUUAUCCGGAUUUAUUGGGUUUAAAGGGAGCGCAGGCGGGGGCGUAAGUCAGCGGUGAAAUCCACGGGCUCAACUCGUGAACUGCCGUUGAUACUGCAUCCCUUGAGUACGUGCGGGGCCGGCGGAAUGCGGCAAGUAGCGGUGAAAUGCAUAGAUAUGCCGCAGAACACCGAUCGCGAAGGCAGCUGGCCAGCACGAAACUGACGCUGAGGC